rnacentral:rRNA from 1 species
GACGAACGGCUGGCGGCGUGCCUAACACAUGCAAGUCGAACGGAGCACUUCGGUGCUUAGUGGCGAACGGGUGAGUAACGCGUGAGCAACCUACCUGAUANAGGGGGGACAACAGUUGGAAACGACUGCUAAUACCGCAUAAAGCCUGAGGGUGAAAGCAGCAAUGCGCUAUCAGAUGUGCCCAAACGGGAUUAGCUAGUAGGUGAGGUAAAGGCUCACCUAGGCGACGAUCUCUAGCUGGUCUGAGAGGAUGAUCAGCCACAUUGGGACUGAGACACGGCCCAGACUCCUACGGGAGGCAGCAGUAGGGAAUAUUGCACAAUGGAGGAAACUCUGAUGCAGCCAAGCCGCGUGUGUGAAGAAGGCCUUCGGGUUGUAAAGCACUUUCGGAGGGGAGGAAAAGAUGACGUUACCCUCAGAAGAAGCACCGGCUAACUCCGUG